rnacentral:lncRNA from 1 species
UAUUCCAAAUUAAUCUAAUGGGAAUAAAUCUGUAUAGGGGGAUUCAAAUAUGUGAAAUGACUAGUUGCUUAAGCAUUCAUAUUAGGGUCAUACAAUCAAUUACCUCAUGAAUGUAUCAUCUCUAUUUCCAAUAUCUGAACACACAAGGAAACUAUAAUCUCCUCCUUCACCUUAUGGGUCUCUUCCUUACAGUAAUUCAGUCAUACCAAUAACUGCUAUUUCUACCAAUAUAUUCACCCUCAUAAUCUCCAACUGUAAUACUGCACCUUCAUAGCUUUCAAUACACAAUUACCUUCAUUCUAAUCACUGGAAUUCUUCACACAGAACUGCCAUUCACAUUACGCUGUUUCACACGAACACAAACUUAUUCUCUCUACUGAACUACAAUCAGAUUUCAGCAUUUAAUCUUUCUUCUUCUCAAAUAAUACCAAUCACAUUUCCAUUCCAUAAUUCACUUCACAAUAUACAAAAACUCUCAAUCAUCUUAUUCAAAGAAAAUAACAAACAAAAGAAAAGAGGUAGCACUAAUCUUAUCCCGGCUCUUAACUAUCACAGCGAUGGCAUUUUCUUCCCCUCUUCCAUCCUCCUUAUACUAUUCCAAGAUACCAACUCCUAUACUACAGAUGAUAACUACUUGACUAUUCAUCUAUUCUACCUGCUGAAGCACUUUUUCAACAGUUAUCUAUCCCUGUUUACACUAUACACUAGGUAUCUUCAUUC